rnacentral:misc_RNA from 1 species
GUGAAUCAUCAAAUUUUUGAACGCAAAUUGCACUCUCCUCGGAGAGUAUGGCUGUUUGAGUGUCAGCCUAUAAAAAAUCGACAUCGUUGCUGUUUCGCGGUGGCGUUCUUCGGAAAUUGGGUCAUCUUAAAUCCUUUUGUUUUUUAAGCGACUUAAGAUUUUCUUUUUGGUUCCAUAAACGUUUCUAUGAUUUAUUUCUUUACACGUUUAAGGUAUUGAUUUUUAUUAGACUUGACCAUCAUAUCGGAUCGCGUCCAUAAUCUUUCAUUAACUGACCUCAGACAGGGAAGA